rnacentral:rRNA from 1 species
GACGAACGCUGGCGGCGUGCUUAACACAUGCAAGUCGAACGGAAAGGCCCUGCUUUUGUGGGGUGCUCGAGUGGCGAACGGGUGAGUAACACGUGAGUAACCUGCCCUUGACUUUGGGAUAACUUCAGGAAACUGGGGCUAAUACCGGAUAGGAGCUCCUGCUGCAUGGUGGGGGUUGGAAAGUUUCGGCGGUUGGGGAUGGACUCGCGGCUUAUCAGCUUGUUGGUGGGGUAGUGGCUUACCAAGGCUUUGACGGGUAGCCGGCCUGAGAGGGUGACCGGCCACAUUGGGACUGAGAUACGGCCCAGACUCCUACGGGAGGCAGCAGUGGGGAAUAUUGCACAAUGGGCGGAAGCCUGAUGCAGCAACGCCGCGUGCGGGAUGACGGCCUUCGGGUUGUAAACCGCUUUCGCCUGUGACGAAGCGUGAGUGACGGUAAUGGGUAAAGAAGCACCGGCUAACUACGUGCCAGCAGCCGCGGUGAUACGUAGGGUGCGAGCGUUGUCCGGAUUUAUUGGGCGUAAAGGGCUCGUAGGUGGUUGAUCGCGUCGGAAGUGUAAUCUUGGGGCUUAACCCUGAGCGUGCUUUCGAUACGGGUUGACUUGAGGAAGGUAGGGGAGAAUGGAAUUCCUGGUGGAGCGGUGGAAUGCGCAGAUAUCAGGAGGAACACCAGUGGCGAAGGCGGUUCUCUGGGCCUUUCCUGACGCUGAGGAGCGAAAGCGUGGGGAGCGAACAGGCUUAGAUACCCUGGUAGUCCACGCUGUAAACGGUGGGUACUAGGUGUGGGGUCCAUUCCACGGGUUCCGUGCCGUAGCUAACGCUUUAAGUACCCCGCCUGGGAAGUACGGCCGCAAGGCUAAAACUCAAAGGAAUUGACGGGGCCCCGCACAAGCGGCGGAGCAUGCGGAUUAAUUCGAUGCAACGCGUAGAACCUUACCUGGGUUUGACAUGGAUCGGGAGCGCUCAGAGAUGGGUGUGCCUCUUUUGGGGUCGGUUCACAGGUGGUGCAUGGCUGUCGUCAGCUCGUGUCGUGAGAUGUUGGGUUAAGUCCCGCAACGAGCGCAACCCUUGUUCACUGUUGCCAGCACGUUAUGGUGGGGACUCAGUGGAGACCGCCGGGGUCAACUCGGAGGAAGGUGGGGAUGACGUCAAGUCAUCAUGCCCCUUAUGUCCAGGGCUUCACGCAUGCUACAAUGGCUGGUACAGAGAGUGGCGAGCCUGUGAGGGUGAGCGAAUCCCGGAAAGCCGGUCUCAGUUCGGAUUGGGGUCUGCAACUCGACCUCAUGAAGUCGGAGUCGCUAGUAAUCGCAGAUCAGCAACGCUGCGGUGAAUACGUUCCCGGG